AUUCCAGCUCCAAUAGUGUAUAUUAAAGUUGUUGCAGUUAAAAAGCUCGUAGUUGGAUUUCUGGCGGGAGCGAUCGGUCCUUCACUCAGUGUUGGAACCUGAUUGUCUCCUGCCAUCCAUGGAGAAAACUUAUCUGGCAUUAAGUUGUCGGGUAGGCAAUCUCCAUCUUUUACUGUGAAAAAAUUAGAGUGUUCAAAGCAGGCUUAUGCCGUUGAAUAUAUUAGCAUGGAAUAAUAAGAUAGGACUAUGGUACUAUUUUGUUGGUUUAUGGGACCGAAGUAAUGAUUAACAGGGACAGUUGGGGCCGUUUAUAUUUCGUUGUCAGAGGUGAAAUUCUUGGAUUUACGAAAGAUAAACCUCUGCGAAAGCAUUCGGCAAGGAUGUUUUCAUCG
rnacentral:rRNA from 1 species